AGCGAACGCUGGCGGCGUGCCUAACACAUGCAAGUCGAACGUGAAAAGGGAAACCUGAGUAAAGUGGCGUACGGGUGAGUAACGCGUAGGGAAUCUACCCCAGAAUCUGGAAUAACCUGCCGAAAGGCGGGCUAAUACUGGAUAGAGCGAGGGAACUCGUAAGAGAGUUUUUCGGGAAAGGGAGCCCGCAAGGGCCUUCGUUCUGGGAUGAGCCUGCGUCUCAUUAGCUAGUUGGUAAGGUAACGGCUUACCAAGGCGAUGAUGAGUAGCUGGUCUGAGAGGAUGAUCAGCCGCACUGGAACUGAAACACGGUCCAGACUCCUACGGGAGGCAGCAGUGGGGAAUCGUGCGCAAUGGACGGAAGUCUGACGCAGCCGCGCCGCGUGAGUGAAGAAGGCCUUCGGGUUGUAAAGCUCUGUCGGAUGGGACGAAAAUCUUCAUAGUGAAUAGCUAUGAGGACUGACGGUACCAUCAAAGGAAGCACCGGCUAACUCCGUG
rnacentral:rRNA from 1 species